AACGAACGCUGGCGGCAUGCCUAACACAUGCAAGUCGAACGAAGUCUUCGGACUUAGUGGCGCACGGGUGCGUAACGCGUGGGAAUCUGCCCUUGGGUACGGAAUAACUCAGAGAAAUUUGUGCUAAUACCGUAUAAUGACUUCGGGUCCAAAGAUUUUAUCGCCCAAGGAUGAGCCCGCGUAAGAUUAGCUAGUUGGUGGGGUAAAAGCCUACCAAGGCGACGAUCUUUAGCUGGUCUGAGAGGAUGAUCAGCCACACUGGGACUGAGACACGGCCCAGACUCCUACGGGAGGCAGCAGUGGGGAAUAUUGGACAAUGGGCGAAAGCCUGAUCCAGCAAUGCCGCGUGAGUGA
rnacentral:rRNA from 1 species